UACGAAGGGUGCAAGUGUUACUCGGAAUUACUGGGCGUAAAGCGUGCGUAGGUGGUUUGUUAAGUCUGUUGUGAAAGCCCCGGGCUCAACCUGGGAAUGGCAAUGGAUACUGGCAAGCUAGAGUGCGGUAGAGGGUAGUGGAAUUCCCGGUGUAGCGGUGAAAUGCGUAGAGAUCGGGAGGAACACCAGUGGCGAAGGCGGCUACCUGGACCAGCACUGACACUGAGGCACGAAAGCGUGGGGAGCAAACAGG
rnacentral:rRNA from 1 species